AAAAGCGUGAAGAAAGUUUCAACUACUUCAAGUUGAUCUUUUCUGCACAAAAGAGAAAAACACUUCUGUCAGAUGAAAGCGACUAAACCACAACAAGUAAGACUCUCACCACCCAGAGGUGUCGAUCGCUGUCUUAGCCAAAAGACCGAGAAGCGAAGAUUGUUGUUUUAUUAUUAAUAUAUAAUUUAUCAUUCAACAUAUAUGGGAGGUGCACCGUUCCUGGAGAUAAUGCAAUACCAGGUCGAUGCGUGGAGUGGACGGAGCAAGCCCCUAUUCCAUCUCCCUGUUCCAAAAAUCAAUUUAAUAUAUGGUCCCCGGGUAGGGGACGUAUCAGAUAUUAAACUGAUAAGAACAGAUACUACACUUGAUCUUAGCCAAAAGGCCGAGAAGCGAUACCACAAAUACCUCGGAGGAGACCAGGUCAUUCUGACAGACCUCAGUCUGACUCACGGUUCUACAUUAAACAUUUUGCGACACACACAAAAACGGGGGAAAAGGUUUAAUUUAACCUUUGUUGACCAUUUGACGCGUAUGUUGUUCUACUGCAGUGAAAGUAUUUACCAUUAGAGAGAAUUCGUGUUUCUUCCUGGACACGUGAUACGUUUUUAGACCAAUAGGAAGCCGAGAAGCAAAAACUACUAAAAACACCUAUUUUUUUUAGAAACAUGUAUUUGCUUGGCAGAAGAGUUAGCGGUGUUUGUUUUUUUAGUUAAUAAACUUAAAAGUAGAAAAGUGUAAAGCCGUUGGAACAAAUAGACUGACCCGUGAGCGCCUUCUAACAGAAAAGCUAGACAGAUGUACUGAUAUCCACCAAUUGUAGUUUGAAAUUUUCCCACGAAAUCCAUGCCAACCAAUUCAAAAGGAGCUAAACCACCAAGAAAGAACUCUCAAAACCAGACUGUUAUGAUUCUGGCCCGUCUGCCUGCUCUGUCUUCAUGUAAUCGGCUAAUCUGCUUCACCUGUCUGCUGCUGCACUGGAGUGCAAUCAAUCAUGCCAUGCACCUGUUUUUCUGCAGUUAUAUUCAGCCCUCAGACAGGAAGACGGUGUCAGAUUUUCAAAAACCUACCAGUUAGUAGAUGUCCAGCAUUCCUUCCUGCCUGACCACGUUUUUGACCACUUUUUGCAUCUUGGAUUUCCCUGCCUUGCCUGACCCUCAUUGGAUGUCUCUCGCCUCUGGAUUACGACCUUGUUUCUGCCUCUCGACCAAAGCCUCCUGCCUCAACCCUGGAUUUGUCUGCCUGAGUCUGCCUCCCCUUGACUACCGAGCCUUGGAUCUUUUCCCCUGUCAGCAAUCCGAGUUCUGGCUGCGGCGUGUUCUGCACCGAUCCUCCUGGUCUGGAGACUGCCAGGACCGCACCCCGCAAAGGAGCCUAUUCUGAUCCCUUCGUCCUACACGGAUUCUGUUAAGGUGAUCACUGACGACUUAAAUCGAUGACGUCUAUGGCCUGCGCUGAACAUCAUCACCACCAUGAGACACAGUCUUCACUAUAUUUGCCAGGUCAUCAUAAAGCUCCCACACACAUGGAGCUCUUCGGCAGUAUGCAAUGUAAUGUCCCAGACCAUCUUUAGUCAAGCUUCCCUUGAAAGCGAUGACUCUUCUCAAAGAGAAUGUCUUUCCUUGGAGAGCAACAGUGGGGGGAAAUUCACUCAAAGGAAACUGAGUUGUGUUUGCAAGUGGGCGAAGGCAGGGAGACUCCGGAAGGAAGAGUCCAUUUUCCACUGAAAUGUCAAGCUGAGCCAUGCCACAGUCCAUCAGCACAGAAAUGUCAGGAGAAACAAAUGAUGGAUCUGCAUGGAGCCAUUCAGUGCAGGAAGUGAGAUAAGAAGUUCUCUUCCUUUUUUUGGGUGGAAGAAUUAGUCCCCUCCAGUUUUCAACCACGUCUUCAUCUGUUGGAGGAAUGUUUGUAGUUUCAUCGGAUUCUACAGAUUGAACAAAUCCGCAUAUUUCCUUCUAUAAAGGAAAGAUGACGAGAAAUAAAGCGAUCAACUCGAAUGGGUAAGUUCUCGUGUUUAAAAAGGCCAUGCUUUACAUUUUUGAAUUCUGCUUCAACAGUGGCUGAGCUCGCUGUGAGGUUGGUGCUUUUGAAGAGGGGGACCAUUACUCCUGUCCAAAGUGCCGCGUAGGUCAGUCUGGAUCUCGUCAAAAGAAUCCACUUGAUGCAUUUCAUUUGGAUCUUCAGCUGGAAUGAUGAUGGAGUCUUCUGUGAUCUGGGUUUUUAGAUAUUUUUUGCACAUCUCUGAUUCGAGAGGGACUCCAGAACUAUCAUCACCCUCUGCCUCACUGAGGGCCACAACAGUGAUGGCAUGUAUUAGCUGUUUUGCAUGGUCCAAGCACUGUGAUUGAAGAAGCUUUGCUAUUGCCCUGACAAAGAAAUCUUUGACACGGUGUGACUUGUU